UGGGGAAUAUUGGACAAUGGGCGAAAGCCUGAUCCAGCCAUGCCGCGUGUAUGAAGAAGGCCUUCGGGUUGUAAAGUACUUUCAGCGGGGAGGAAGGCGAUAAGGUUAAUAACCUUGUCGAUUGACGUUACCCGCAGAAGAAGCACCGGCUAACUCCGUGCCAGCAGCCGCGGUAAUACGGAGGGUGCAAGGGUUAAUCGGAAUUACUGGGCGUAAAGCGCACGCAGGCGGUCUGUCAAGUCGGAUGUGAAAUCCCCGGGCUCAACCUGGGAACUGCAUUCGAAACUGGCAGGCUAGAGUCUUGUAGAGGGGGGUAGAAUUCCAGGUGUAGCGGUGAAAUGCGUAGAGAUCUGGAGGAAUACCGGUGGCGAAGGCGGCCCCCUGGACAAAGACUGACGCUCAGGUGCGAAAGCGUGGGGAGCAAACA
rnacentral:rRNA from 1 species